GUGCUCGCUUUGGCGGCACGUAUACUAAAAUUGGAACGACACAGAGAAGAUUGGCAUGGCCCCUGCGCAAGGAUGGCACGCACAUGCGUGACGCGUUCCAUAUUUUU
rnacentral:snRNA from 1 species